AGAUAAAAGUGGCCCUACUUAUAAUUACUGUUGAUCCUACAUAACAUUUUGCAUUUCCAAAGUGCUUUGCUAGUUUCACCUCAUUAAUUCUUUAGAAUCCCCCCUGCAGGACAACAAAAGAGGAACAGGAAUGUCAAGAAUGCACAACAGCAAGGACUUCUCAAUAAAAAAAGCCUCUGUUAUCAACAGAGUUAAAUUUUGAAGGAAAUGACGCUGCUCUUGGUUACUUCUCCGGGAGGGCAACGAAGUCUCAGGGCUGAACAAGCUCAGAAGAAAAGAUUCUCUAUCCUCACGGUUUGAAAACAGCCUUUAUCUGAACCUAUUCUUAAAUGAGAUGGUUUAUCAUCAGUGGGCAGAAUCAAAAUAAGCAGUUGCAACCAAAUUGUUUGCCAGCUUAAAUCAUCAUCAUCACAAGCGGAGCCAGAAAGUUAAAAAAAUAAAAUAAAUGUUUAUGGUAUCUUUCAAACAAAUAAAAGUCUGACCCAGCUU